AAGAGGAAACGUCUGAAAAACUUUUGGAUUUUCCAAUUCUCCACUUCAAAUAGCCAAGGGCCAGAGACCGCAGAAAGGAAACUCGUAGAGAUAGUUCCACUAAGGUUUAGAGCCAAAGACUCAGGCCGGCCCCAAAGCCUGAGCUGAAGACACUCGCUCCUCAUUUCUCAUCACUCGAGUGAGACACCUGGCAGGCAGGAAAGCUUUAGUCCUUCCAACUCCAGAUUUCCUGUGACUACUCAACCAUAAUGCAGACCACCGUGGUCUCCGCCACGGCAAGUUUCUCCUGGGAGGUUAUUCAGGGUGCUGUGGUGUGCAACCUCCACUGCUAAACUGCUACGCAGAGGAAAGCAGAGCCCAGGGAAUUGCAGAGAAAUGGAGCUGCAGCCCCGGGUUAAGCCAGCCCCGAAGUCUGCAUUCUUUCUAGCUUCUAGUUAUGUCGAAGUCCUGAAGCCCAAACCUCAGAAUCCGCGCCUACUUGGAAAAAAGGUCACUGCAGAUGUAAUUAGUUAAGAUGAGGUCAUGCUGCAGGAGGGCGCAGGCCCCUAAUCCGAUGUGACUGGUUUUCUUUCUCAUGAGAAGACAGCCAUGUGAAGACACAGGCGCACAGGGAGAGUGUCACGUGAUGACAAAGGCAGAGUACCCAGAGUUGUGUAACUGCAAGUCUGGAAUGCCAGGGGUCACCAGCAAACCUCCAGACGUUAGAAAGAGAAAAAGAAGGGUUUCUGCAUAGG